UUCUUGAAACAUGGUAUGUAAUAUGUUUUUGGUUUCUGUUUUGACCAAACAAGGUUUUAUGAGCUGCAGGUUACAAGUCAAGAAGCUAUUGAAACAGCUAAGUUGCUCGCCUUGAAAGAAGGUUUGCUGAUGGGAAUUUCAUCAGGAGCCGCAGCAGCAGCUGCAAUAAAAUUGGC